rnacentral:SRP_RNA from 2 species
GCUGGGUGUGGUGGCGCACACCUGUAGUCCCAGCUACUUGGGAAGCUGAGGCAGGAGAAUCGCUUGAACCCAGGAGGCAGAGGUUACAGUGAGCUGAGAUGGUGUCACUGCACUCCAGCCUGGGCAACAGAGUAAGACUCUGUCUCAA